GGUCCUAUAGUCUAGUGGUCAGGACGUUGGAUUGUAUGUCUCCACCUCACGCCUACUCAAGUUCACCGCUAACCUCCAAACAGUUGACUCAUAAUCUGCCUUCCAAAGUCGCCAGUUCGAACCUGGCUAGGACCU